ACACAAGGCUUACACCAGAGGUGUCAAACUGGCGGCUCACGGGCCAUGUGGCCCACUAAUAAAUGAUAUGCGGCCCAACAUUUAAUAUCAUGUUAUUAUGAAAACCUGGUCCACAAACUCUUCUGCUGCCAGUAAGGAGGCGAUGUUUUCAAACUUGACAGUUUUUGUAUAGACAUCUCCAGCAAUGGCCCAUCAUCGAGCAUCUCAAGUUACAACUGUUGUUAUGGAAGACUGCCCUGAUCUGGAGUAUCAUAAAACUGCUCCGAACACCGGAACAGAAGGACACAGUUUCAGAGCUGUCCUUGUCUUCUUGAUCUCCCAACAGUCAACAAAACAAAUCAGAGAUGGCUACAUAACAAACUUCAGCUCCUGCUGAUUAAGUGACAUUCAUCAAUUCAUGCUUUAGUUCAUGAUAUUUAGUCCAUAGUCAUGUUUAAGUUCUUCAAAACCACCAUUUAAUGCAUACUGUAUACAGUUUAACAACAACAUUUCUCACGCUGUAACUGUUCAUAGGACAGUGGCAUAUUUAACAACCUCAAUUUCACAAAUGUUGACACAGUAGGAAAA